rnacentral:rRNA from 1 species
GCAAGUCGAACGGAAAGGCCUCAGCUUGCUGGGGUACUCGAGUGGCGAACGGGUGAGUAACACGUGGGUGAUCUGCCCUGCACUUUGGGAUAAGCCUGGGAAACUGGGUCUAAUACCGAAUAUGACCACUUCUUGGAUGUUGUGGUGGAAAGCUUUUGCGGUGUGGGAUGAGCCUGCGGCCUAUCAGCUUGUUGGUGGGGUAAUGGCCUACCAAGGCGGCGACGGGUAUCCGGCCUGAGAGGGUGUACGGACACAUUGGGACUGAGAUACGGCCCAGACUCCUACGGGAGGCAGCAGUGGGGAAUAUUGCACAAUGGGCGCAAGCCUGAUGCAGCGACGCCGCGUGGGGGAUGAAGGCCUUCGGGUUGUAAACUCCUUUCGCUAUCGACGAAGCCAUUUUGUGGUGACGGUAGGUAGAUAAGAAGCACCGGCUAACUACGUGCCAGCAGCCGCGGUAAUACGUAGGGUGCAAGCGUUGUCCGGAAUUACUGGGCGUAAAGAGCUCGUAGGUGGUUUGUCGCGUCGUCUGUGAAAUCCCGGGGCUUAACUUCGGGCGUGCAGGCGAUACGGGCAUAACUUGAGUGCUGUAGGGGAGACUGGAAUUCCUGGUGUAGCGGUGAAAUGCGCAGAUAUCAGGAGGAACACCGAUGGCGAAGGCAGGUCUCUGGGCAGUAACUGACGCUGAGGAGCGAAAGCAUGGGUAGCGAACAGGAUUAGAUACCCUGGUAGUCCAUGCCGUAAACGGUGGGCGCUAGGUGUAGGGGGCUUCCACGUCUUCUGUGCCGUAGCUAACGCAUUAAGCGCCCCGCCUGGGGAGUACGGCCGCAAGGCUAAAACUCAAAGGAAUUGACGGGGGCCCGCACAAGCGGCGGAGCAUGUGGAUAAAUCGAUGCAACGCGAAGAACCUUACCUGGGCUUGACAUGUACCGGAUCGGGCUAGAGAUAGUCUUUCCCUUGUGGUCGGUAUACAGGUGGUGCAUGUUGUCGUCAGCUCGUGUCGUGAGAUGUUGGGUUAGUCCCGCAA